rnacentral:lncRNA from 1 species
GGGAAACAAACAUAUUUUUAAUUUUGGCCCAAGGGUAACACUUAAUGCCCCUGGAAUGCUGAGGCAGGGGCAUACAACUAUUCUUGUUUAAUUCUAACAUGUUCAUGAAGUUGGAAAAGCUUUUUUUAAUCCAAAAAUACUUAAAUUCUAGCAAAAGUACAUGUAAAUCAUUAUAUGUUUCUUCAAUAUUUAAAAUAUUAACAUAAACCUUUGAGAUAAUAAAAAUGUCCUUAAUUGUACGUCCCGAUCCUUAGGCCAAAUUAAAACAUAUGUGUGGUUCCAGUUACCCUAUAGCUACCUAUCCUACUUUUUAGUCCUAAUAUAUAAUAGCCAACCAUAAAGAUUUUUUUGUCAUUUUUCAAUAAGCACGAUCAAAGUCAGAAUGUUCCUCCCAUAGCCAUAAUGUAAAAAAAAAUCCUUUACUACAUACCCUAACUUUUCUUACAUGUAACUGGAACCACAUACUUUUUUUUAUUCAGCCUUAAUCUUAAAACUGUGUCACUCUGGCCACUCAAAAUUGUAUUUGAAGACCUGACAUGCAGUGAGUCUUCUGCAUGCAGAUUUUGAAUUAUACAACAUGUAUUCUGAUAAUUGUUUACGAAGACCAGUGUUUCUUGUGCAUGUAGACUUAUACAUUUUUUAAAUUUAAGAUGUAAAAAAAUAAUAAUUCAUGACAAAAAGUUCUGUUAAAACAGAAAGUAUGUAAGCUUCUCUUGCUGGGAAAGGUAAUUUCUUAUACUCUUUAUGUCAUUUUGCAUGUGUUCAGAUUUAAUCUAUAACAAUUUAUUGUUUUGGUUAAGGCAAAUGAUAACUUAAUUGCACUGUGACCAGGUGACAAAACUUGCAAAAAUAUACAUGUACAGUUCAUUAAUGAAGUAUAAUCAUGAUAAUCUAGAGAUUAGCUUUCAGAAGUAUUCAUAAACAUGGUGUUACUCAAUAUUUUCUUUAUCAUG